GCAGAAUUCAGUGAAUCAUCGAAUCUUUGAACGCAAAUGGCGCUCUUGGGUUCUCCCAGGAGCAUGUCUGUCUGAGUGUCUUUUUCGUUGAAUGACAUUCGCACGAUGUGGCCGUGUUAUGCACUGGCGUUUCGUGCGGCGUUGAGGUUCGCGGCCUUGCUAUUCUUAGGCCGCGUGCCUUUAAAUGGAGGAGGAAGAUGGGCUCAAGGUCCGGUGCAGUCGCAUGCGGAUUCAGUUGAUGUGCCGCAUGUGACUGCUGCAUCGGGAAUAUUGUCCUCGGCCCUCUACCUCGUGACCUUUAGCACGACGUUCGUUCGUUCGUUCGUUCGUUCGUUCGUUCGUUCGUUCGUUCGUUCGUUGGUUGCUUGCCGCCAGACCUCAGAUCAGGCAAGGCUACCCGCUGAAUUUAAGCAUAUUAAUAAGCGGAGGAAAAGAAACUAACAAGGAUUCCCCCAGUAACGGCGAGUGAAGCGGGAAGAGCUCAAAUUUGAAAUCUCCGAUGCCUGCAUCGGCGAGUUGUAGUUGCGAGAAGCACUUUCUAGGCGGAAGGGCCCUGCCUAAGUUGCUUGGAACAGCACGUCGCAGAGGGUGACAACCCCGUCU
rnacentral:misc_RNA from 1 species